rnacentral:lncRNA from 1 species
AACUUCCAUGAGGGCGGGGAUUUUUCGCUUCCCCCGCAACUGCCUGCGUUUUCGUAGCCCUAGAGCUUCCAACGUACAGUGCGGAAAAGCAACAUAACACACUAAGAACCGUGCGGAAAAGGAGAGAAAACCAGACCGCAGGGGCAUUUCACAGCUAACCACAGCGGUCCGAGGCGAACGCAGGGUGGAAGAACCCGAGCGAGGCCCGGCAGGGGCGGGGUGAGCCUUGGCCCCGCUCCCGUGCAGGUGUCGCGGAGACCCACGCACGGAAGGAUGAUACACUGUGAUUCCCCGACGUGGGCCUGCAGCAAGAGACGGGUGCUAACAGCGUCCGAGCCAAUCCGUGCUUAUCACACAUGCAGUCAAUGAACACCUCACAAAUGCAAGGUUCACAUGCAGUCUUCGAUGAACACAUCGAUCGCAUCCAGCAGUAUGUCUGUAUUGGAAAAGUCCUUCCAUAGCACCCAGUAAUGAAAAGGAAUGUGGCGGGGAGCAGUACUGGACAGUAAAACUAAAAACACCAGGAAGAUCACAGUGAGAUCAGCAGAGCCCUAGAAUGGCAAAUCCAUGACAAAGAAAAUUUCUGAUGAAUAAAAACGUGCCUGGGUC